rnacentral:rRNA from 1 species
GAACUCUUCGGAGUUAGUGGCGGACGGGUGAGUAACACGUGGGAACGUGCCUUUUGGUUCGGAAUAACUCAGGGAAACUUGUGCUAAUACCGAAUGUGCCCUUCGGGGGAAAGAUUUAUCGCCAUUAGAGCGGCCCGCGUCUGAUUAGCUAGUUGGUGAGGUAAUGGCUCACCAAGGCGACGAUCGGUAGCUGGUCUGAGAGGAUGAUCAGCCACAUUGGGACUGAGACACGGCCCAAACUCCUACGGGAGGCAGCAGUGGGGAAUCUUGCGCAAUGGGCGAAAGCCUGACGCAGCCAUGCCGCGUGAAUGAUGAAGGUCUUAGGAUUGUAAAAUUCUUUCAGUAGGGACGAUAAUGACGGUACCUACAGAAGAAGCCCCGGCUAACUUCGUGCCAGCAGCCGCGGUAAUACGAAGGGGGCUAGCGUUGCUCGGAAUUACUGGGCGUAAAGGGAGCGUAGGCGGACAUUUAAGUCAGGGGUGAAAUCCCGGGGCUCAACCUCGGAAUUGCCUUUGAUACUGGGUGUCUUGAGUAUGAGAGAGGUAUGUGGAACUCCGAGUGUAGAGGUGAAAUUCGUAGAUAUUCGGAAGAACACCAGUGGCGAAGGCGACAUACUGGCUCAUUACUGACGCUGAGGCUCGAAAGCGUGGGGAGCAAACAGGAUUAGAUACCCUGGUAGUCCACGCCGUAAACGAUGAUUGCUAGUUGUCGGGAUGCA